CGGUGCCCUUUAUGUUAUUUUUAUUUUUAAUUUCGUCCUUUACCCUCUUUUCUCUCUCUAGCCUCCUCUUUCCCAUAAAGAUCUCUCUUUAACUACCCCCCUCUCUCUCUCUUAUUCUUGCCUUCACCGUCGCCUCCUCCACCAGACCACCACUCAGUCGUCGACCCCUCCACGUUGGCCCUUCCACCGCCGACCCUUCAUCUCUUUUUCUUUCACUCUCUCUCCUCGCCGCAACAGUGAGGAGUGGUUGCCUCCGUAAUGAGAAUCGACGGUUGCUUAAUCUAACGGCGGCCAGGAUUGAUGGUGAUAGACAGUCUUGAUCGAAUGAUUAUGCUAUUAAUGAUGAUCGAAGCUCCAUUGAUUGAAAAAGGGCAGCCACGAAAGGAGGGGGAUCUGUAAUUUCAUCUUCGUACCUCGCCGUAAUUUACUUCACCGGCGCGAGAUCUUUUCCAAGCGGCGAAAGCCGACACUCCUCCUCGGUUUUGGAUCUUGAUCUGACAAGCACUUUCUUAACCCUCGUCGGUCUGCAAAACCAACCCCAAUUGAAUUGGAAGAUGGAAUUAUACUUCUUACAGAUGUGUUGCCAAUCAAUCCACAGGAUUCACAUAAUAAAGCUGGUAUAGUUCAAUGUGGUGUUCAGAUAUUGCAGAUCUUAUUAAAAUUGGUGGUGUUCAGAAUAUAGUUCAAGUAUGAUCAGAUAAUGCUUCUAUUGAUAUUUUGGAUCUUUUGGUUGUGGGUUUAUGUCUAUUCUAAAAUUCUUGUAUGCCAUUUGUACAUGGUAAGCCUUAACUCAACUUGUUUCCUCAGUAGAGAGCACUUUGAAAUGGUCUUCCAUGUAAGUACACUACUAGAAAUAGGCCGUUUUCCGAGGGAAUCGUUCCGACGGACCUAAAUUCCGUCGGAAAAUCCGAACUUUCCGACGGAAUUAGGGUUUGUCGGAACAUUCCGUCGGAAAAGGUUCAUUACGACGGAAAAUCCGUCGGAAUUCUUGCGACGGAAGUUAAUUCCCUCGGAAUAAUAGGCUUCCGACGGAAUAUUCCGUCGGAAAAUUAGUUUUCCUACGGAAUUUAAAUCCGUCGGAAUUUUCCUACGGAAUAUUCCCUCGGAAAACCCAAAUAUUCCGAUGGAUUUUUUAUCCGUCGGAACGUUCUAAUAUAUAAAAAAAAAACCGGAAAUAUUUUAGCCUUUAAUAAUAAUAAAAAAAUUAAAUAAAACAAAACAUAAAACCCAGAAUUUCGUUGGGAACCCUAAUCCUCUUCUUUCCGCCUCUUUUCCCUAUCUCUCUUCUCUCCUCUCAUCUUCUCCCUUUCUCUCUCCUCCUUCCUCUUGUCUUCCUCUUCUUCUUUGAUCUUCUCUCCUCUCCUCGAUAUUUUCCCUUUCUCUCUCCUCUUUCCUCUUCUCCUUCUCUCUGAUCUCCUCUUCUACAACAACAACAACAAUCAACAAAAGGGGGUCACGCGUCACCGUCAACAACAAGCAACAUUAACCCCAACAACCACCGUCGCCAACCACGUAUUUCAAGUUUUUUGUUUUUGUAGAUCUGUUAAUUUAGGUUUGAGUGUAGAUGUAGUUAGUUUUGAAUGUAAUUAUAAUUGUGUAAUUAUAUUUUUUUUUUAUUUUCGUUGUUAAUUUUCGGUUUUUUGAAUUUUCGGUAUUUUUUAAAUAA